rnacentral:misc_RNA from 1 species
GCAAACUUGGUCAUUUAGAGGAAGUAAAAGUCGUAACAAGGUUUCCGUAGGUGAACCUGCGGAAGGAUCAUUACUGUGGGUGCCGUUAAGGCGCCCGCUGAGAUAGAACCCCUUGUCUUUAAAGCACCGUCUGUUUCCUCGGCAGGUACCGCCUGCCAGCGAGGACCGCAACCAAACACUUUUGUAUUUGUAGUAAACGUAUUCACGAGAAAUCGAAAUUAAAACUUUCAACAACGGAUCUCUUGGUUCUGGCAUCGAUGAAGAACGCAGC